CAAUAGCGUAUAUUAAAGUUGUUGCGGUUAAAAAGCUCGUAGUUGGAGUUCUGCCAGGUGCCGCCUGUCCGCCCCAGUGGUGAGUACGUGGCGCGCAUUUGGCCCUUUCAAGGGGAGCGUAUCUGCACUUUAUUGUGUGGUGCGGGAUCCUUGACUUUUACUUUGAGGAAAUAGGAGUGUUCCAAGCAGGCUCUCGUCGUGCACAGCUCAGCAUGGAAUAAUAGCACUGGACCUCGAUUCUAAGCUGUUGGUUGCCAGAAGCGAGGUAAUGAUGAAGAGGGAUAGUUGGGGGCAUUCGUAUUUAACUGUCAGGGGUGAAAUUCUUGGAUUUGUUAAAGACGGACUACUGCGAAAGCAUCUGCCAUGGAUGUUUUCAUUGA
rnacentral:rRNA from 1 species